rnacentral:lncRNA from 1 species
CGUUCCAUUUGUUUCUCAUUUGAAACCUUCACAACUCUUAUUUCAUAACUCAAUUUUGUUUUACACUAUUUUUCUUCCAAGCAAGCAUUCAUUUUUAUUUUCUCUAUUUUUUUUUCUUUUUCUACAUCGUAUUCACAAAACAGAUGUUCCUCUUUUUUAAUUUUUUUCAAUGCUUGCUCGGUUAUUCCAGAGUUGUGGCACCUACC